GUUUCAGUGUCUCUCUUUCAGAAAAGAGGAAAAUAAUUUUCAACUUCUAAGAGGAUCAAACAGCAGCGUAUGGAGAAGUCAACAUAGGAGCCAGUGCUUCAGCUGGAGUUCUGGUGCAAGAAAAGGCCUCAGCAGGAACACCACAUACUGGCCACUGUAUCUGCACACAGGUCCCACCACUGGAAGAUGCCUGCAGUCAAGUGAUUCCAAAUCUUUUUUUGGAAGUUGUGUUUCCAGGUCACAUUUGUACAAGCUAGCACAACCACAAUGAGCAGUUCCCUGAACAAUAGAAGAACAUUUCUGAGUGGCAGCUGAACAGGUGGAGUUGACCACAUCAGGCAUGACAAGGGGCAUAUCCCAUAGACGGUCCUUUCAGCUCCUCACAGUCAGGAAUGUGGCUCUUCCUGGAAACCACCUGCUCAGGGAGACAGCUGGGCUUUUCCUGAGGGCUGGAUCUACGCUGCAGACCCUUCCGGGUGGGUUAAGGUGUCCUCCUCACAGCCUCAGCACUCGAGCAGAGCAGCAAAUGUGGGAGGCACUUUGGUUUACGCAGUUACAACUUGUACCAGCCCUCAGGCAUGAGAUCCUGGUACAGGUACAACCUGACAGCCACAUUCUCCCCACCUGCCCGACACGAGUUUCUUAUGCAGCCUCCUCUGCCCUCUGCACUCAUUGUGCCGUGAGUCCUGCUGCUCUAUAUCCUGCGGAGGCUGCCAGCCAAGCUUUGUCACCCUGCCUCUCCAGUGGUCUGAAAUGACCUUCAAGAGAUUGGCUGUAAGGUGAAAGUACACUAGCAGGUUGAAGCUGGUCACUCAACAUCCAAGGGAUUAGAGCAAAUGAGCAAACAAAGCUGGUUUGAUUUGUCUGCAAGACAUCCUUGUCUAAAAAUCAGAGCUGCAAGCCCCAAGCAGAAGCUAAGAAGAGCCAAGGGCCAAAGUAUCUCAAAUUCAGAGGACUAGAGGACUCUCAACUAGGCUGCCUGGGACAAGGGUAAGAGCUGGUGAGAAGUGGGAGAAUAUUAUUGCAGACCAUGUUUAACAGGAUGCUGAAGUCUGGAUGCCAGUCAGUGCCCUAUCUUUUCUCCUACAAUCAGUCCCACAGAAAUUCUGUAUGAUGGCAUCAUCCUUGGUUCAAAGAGGGAGAGAAAAAGUACAAACCAUUUCAGUAAUGGACAAGUUCGAGAAGAGAUCCUUGAAAAUCCUCCCCCAGCUGAAUGUCCUAGUUAUGUUCUAGGGGUUCCUGAGAGCCCUAAUACAGAUUUUAUCUGCUCUGUGACUGCUGCAUUGUAUCAUGUUACUUACCCUCUGAGUACCUCAAGAACAGACUGGCUGGGGGGAUGCACAACUAUUCAUUGGCACCCCAAGAUCAUCAGGUGGUUGCUGAAUUCCUUCAGAGGAGGGUUGAGUGAUCUGGUAAGAGGAACAUGUGGAAGAUCUCAAGAGACCUCAACUCCCUGCUUUUUUGUUUAGCAGCACCACAUGCCUCCUUCAAUGCCAGGUCUGUAAAGGUGGUGCCCAAGCUCAGGGCACAGUGAGGAAUAAUAGCUAAAGUUCUCCCUCUUCAGUCCUUGAACAUGCAAAGGGUGGCUCCACAGUUCCUCCCAGGGCCAUCCAGCUCAAUGAUGUGUGACUAACUCUUUCAUUGACCAAAGACCAACCACUUCCCUCAUGUGAUGUUACAUAACUGUUCAUCUAUUCCGUUAAUGAAUGGAGCUUGAGAAAAUUUCCAUUGCCUAAGGCCCUUAGGGGAAAAUGUGCGAGCACUGUCUCCACCUUUUGUGUGCUGCCCUGGGAUUUUCCUAUGGAUUAACUGAGUACAGUGCUAUUAUUUUUUGGUUGCUGUCAUUGGUGACUGAAAUGGUAAGCUAACUGUUGGGUGCAAAGGGGGUGGGAAAAAAAAAAAAGGAGUCUCUGCCUGAGCCAGAGGAAACAGGAGUCUCCCCCUGCCAGGAGGAGCAACAGAGAAGUCAUUGCAUCAUCAGUGUGGUCAGGAACUGCACCUAUUCCCAGGCAAAACGUGCUCUUUUUAUUCAGCCCUCAGAAGAGUCAAAACACCUCCCAGCUUCUCCUCACUCCCUGCAGAGAUCCAGCAGUGCCAACCUGCUGGCAUCCUGGGGGCCAGACCCAGUCCUGGGGCUGUCAAACAGUUCUCCCUGGACUGCCGUGGUCAGGAUGGAGCAGUCUGAUGCUGGUCAGCAGCAGAGAGGGGUGAUAUGUUCCUCUUGGGUAUAUUGGCAUGUCAGAGGUACCCACCCCAGUAUUUACAGCAGGUAGGAACUGCAAGGAAGAUGGGAAUACACCAGUAUUUCCAAAAGCCCCUACCAAUGCUUCAGAUUUUUCCAUUUUUACCACUUCACUGUGGUGCUGCCUAAGAUAGAAAUUAUUUCUAUCAUAAAAGUCCUUCUUCCAGUGGAAGACUGGCUAGGGGAGAGCUUAACCUUUCCCCAAACAAUGUCAUGCAAAGGUGCUUGAAAGUGCUAGAGACACAUGAUUUUCAGAAAUAGGAUUCAUGUUGUACUCUGAGGAUGUACUUUGGAAUGAAAGAAUAUUUUGGAUGUACAGUGUGGCCUCCCCAUGGUGUGGGCUACAAAUGUCACAGUUUAGGAAUGUUGCUGAAGCUAAGAAGGUGGCUAGAUUGAGCAGGACCAUGAUGGAUGGAAGUGGCAGCACUGAAAUAAUGGAGGAUGUUCCUUUUUCAGUUUAUGGGGAGAAAAUGCAAAUGUUGCUCAGGCUCCUGUAAUGCCUGGUCCAUGCACAAUGAUGAGUAAAUAUUUAACUGCAGAAAGAACAUUGGCUUCCAGAGACUGAAGCAGCCAAGUUAAUCAGUUCCAGACUAUAUUCAAGUCAUGGGUGUCAAGAGGACAGUACAGGUUCAAAAGCCUUGAGGAUGUUCAAAGUCUCCUAUUACACCUCAGCAGUUGGCAUGUCUUCCCUAGGAUGCUAAAAAAAAGAGGAUAUUUUCACCUGCUGAGAAUGCAGGAUGAUGAACUCACUCAAAGGCAUGCUUCAUAGGAUGGGGGAAGGUUGAAGAUGUGACAAAGAGAAGUUUGAAGAUCCUCUUGUUGCAUCCAGAUGGUGCUUCAUAAACUUGGGAGAGGAGGCUGCUGCAGCAGUUGGACUUGGAAAGCCCUCAGGCUGGUCUGGAGACAUUCCCUGCCCUGGCAGCCCAUGGGAUGUUCACAUCAGAAAUGACAGAAGUUGCCAUUGGUAGGAGUUUGGAAAGCACUUUGGAAAGUGCUCAGUUUCUGCCAGACCCUCCUCUUAUACAACAUAUUUCCAGUCAUUCUUUUCUCCAAGUAAAGUUUGUUCUCAUCUGUCUCUCCCUUACAAAGCCAGUCUGUUUCCUUCAGAGAUUAUGCGGAGAAGGUUAGUACUCAUGCCUCUAAUAAAACAAGUUUCAACAGAUAUGAUAUAGCUCA
ensembl:lncRNA